CAUAAGUUCCUUUAUUAAUAAAGCAAAGGAUGAAAGAACAAGGUCCCCCAAUGACCCAUAUGAUUAAAAAGUGCAAAUUUACUCCGACCUGAAAUAGAAAACAAAUGGCAGGCCUCGACUGUCUGGGCCAUGGACACCUGGUGUGAUUAAGACGCCUUUCAAUCACACGACGGUAGCAGCUAAAUCCCAUCUGAUUACUUCUUUGGUGUCCAUUAUUGGAACAGAACACAUGCUAUGAUCGCAGCCGACUGGCUGCAUCCUAUGACACAGGUUGGGGUCAGAAUACAUCCUAAAAAUAACAAUAAACUAAGAGGAAUGUUUUAAAGUCAAGUGACUGAAUCAAGGCACUUUUUUUUUUUUUUAAAGCAAAAGGUGCUAAAAAAUAUUCCUGAAUGUCUGAUACUUCCAAAACUGGGUUAUAUCUAACUUAGCUGCACGUUUUAGUCUAUUCUCUCUGUAUAAAGGAUCGCACAUAUCUCUGUCCACUCCCAACGUAUACGUGCUUUAUCGCCACCAAAUCAUGUGCUAUGUAGGUGUAAAAAAUAAAAUAAAAUAAAAUAAACCGUAGUGUCUAAGGAAGACAUGCAAUUUUUUAAAAAUUAACAAACGCCACAAAUGAUAACACUGAACUUUUUCCCCCAUUUUUCCCAUCACUUGGCGGAGGGAUAAUACUCUUCCUCUGUGUGGACAGGGUAAGUCAUUGUCAAGGUCAAAAGCCACAUUUUACAGAAAAAGUGACUUAACUCCAUGAAGUUAAAGGAGACAUUUUGGAGGCUGUUUAUUUAAUUCCUUCAGAAUGUGAGGAUGUUCAUUUUGGUGGGAGCCACGGAGUCAGAAAGGGAUGGAAAUAUUUGAUUAGAACAAUGCUCUUGGAGUUCCCGUUGUGGCUUAGUGGUAAUGAACCUGAUGAGUACCCAUGAGGAUGCUGGUUGGAUCCCUGGCCUCACUCAGUGGGUUGAGGAUCCAGCGUUGCCAUGAGCUGUGGUGUAGGUCACAGACACAGCUUGGAUCCCGCACUGCUGUGGCUGUGGCUCGGAUUCGACCCCUAGCCUGGGAACUUCCAAAUGAGUUCCCUCAAAACAGCUCAGAAAUGAAACAAGGCCCUAGUCACGUGGCUCCUUCUGUCUUCCAAGUUCUACUUUUUUUUGGUUUUGUUUUUGCUUUUUUUUUUCGGGCCACACCCGUGGCAUAUGGAGGUUCCCAGCCUAGGGGUCUAAUCGGAGCUACUGCUGUCAGCCUACACCACAGCCACAGCAACGCCAGAUCAUUAACCCACUGAGCCAGGCCAGGGAUCCAACCCACGUCCUCACGGUUCCUAGUCCUUCCCAAGUCCCACUUUUAAGAGUCUCUGUUAAAAAAAAAAAAAAUCCUAAAGUACAUCCCUGGGACUGGCUGCAUUUUCUAUACGGCAGAUGAUGGACCAUUCCACACGUCAACUGAAAAGCCGACUGAUGCCACUGAGAGCUGAAAUCUGCGAGGGAAGCAGGAGUUGCAGGAUGGGCUAGCUGCAAAAUACACUCACUCAGCCUGGUGCUAUUUAUGCCCAAAGAGCAGAAAGAACAGAGAGCGGACAAGGGCUGUCUCUCCCCAUCUCCCCCUCACUUGCCCUCCUCUGCUGUCUUUCUCCUCUGCCAACAGAUGGAAAACAACGGAUCUUCCAGCAUGAAGCCCAAGACACCGAAUGUUAAGUUAAAGGCUUUGCAAGACCUGGGCUGAACCGACCGCUCCUCAAAGCUGGCCUUGGGGCCACUUAAAGGCCACCUGGGCCACGGGAGCCAAAGUUCCCAAGCAGGAAGGAUCGCUGAGCAAGGGCUGAGAGCUCAAAGGCAAGCCCGGCACCAGGGCAGGCAUUUCCCUUUCAUGAUCUCAUUAAACUCAGAAAGAGAUCUCCGUGCAAAGGAGCUUGCUAAAAAGACUUUUAAAAAAAAGUUUCUGUCUCCAGCCAGCAACAAGCCCUGGCGAGACACCUCGCUGGGCAAAGAGGGAAAUACAACUUUCUCGAGACCCAACACGUUUUAGGCCCUCACCGGUGUUGCCUGGAACAUGUGUUCUGCUGCCACUCUGCAACCGCGCCUGGCGCACAGCAGGCGUUCAACGAAUGGGUGCUGACUGGUGCACAUCUCAGCCUGUGCCCUCAGGGAAGCCAGCUCUUCAAGACUGCAAAUUUCGGAGUUCCCGUCAUGGUGCAGCGGAAAUGAAUCCAACUAGAAAGCAUGAGGUUUCUGGUUCGAGCCCUGGCCCCACUCAGUGGGUUAAGGAUCCGGUGUUGCCGUGAGCUGUGGUGUAGGUCACAGAUGCGGCUCGGAUCCCGAGUUGCUGUGGCUGUGGUGUAAGCCGGCAGCUGUAGCUCCAAUUCGACCCCUAGCC
rnacentral:lncRNA from 1 species